rnacentral:rRNA from 1 species
CGCAAUGGACGAAAGUCNGACGGAGCACGCCGCGUGAGUGAUGAAGGUUUUCGGAUCGUAAAGCUCUGUUGUUAGGGAAGAACAAGUACCGUUCGAAUAGGGCGGUACCUUGACGGUACCUAACCAGAAAGCCACGGCUAACUACGUGCCAGCAGCCGCGGUAAUACGUAGGUGGCAAGCGUUGUCCGGAAUUAUUGGGCGUAAAGGGCUCGCAGGCGGUUUCUUAAGUCUGAUGUGAAAGCCCCCGGCUCAACCGGGGAGGGUCAUUGGAAACUGGGGAACUUGAGUGCAGAAGAGGAGAGUGGAAUUCCACGUGUAGCGGUGAAAUGCGUAGAGAUGUGGAGGAACACCAGUGGCGAAGGCGACUCUCUGGUCUGUAACUGACGCUGAGGAGCGAAAGCGUGGGGAGCGAACAGGAUUAGAUACCCUGGUAGUCCACGCCGUAAACGAUGAGUGCUAAGUGUUAGGGGGUUUCCGCCCCUUAGUGCUGCAGCUAACGCAUUAAGCACUCCGCCUGGGGAGUACGGUCGCAAGACUGAAACUCAAAGGAAUUGACGGGGGCCCGCACAAGCGGUGGAGCAUGUGGUUUAAUUCGAAGCAACGCGAAGAACCUUACCAGGUC